CGGGCCCGCACAAGCAGCGGAGCGUGUGGUUUAAUUCGAUGCUACACGAAGAACCUUACCAGGGUUUGACAUGCUAGUGGUAGGAAACCGAAAGGGUGACCGGACCCUUCGGGGAGCUAGCACAGGUGCUGCAUGGCUGUCGUCAGCUCGUGUCGUGAGAUGUUCGGUUAAGUCCGCUAACGAGCGCAACCCUCGCUGUGUGUUAUAUGUGUCACAUGGGACUGCCGGCCUUAAGCCGGAGGAAGGUGGGGAUGAUGUCAAGUCAGCAUGGCCUUUAUGUCCUGGGCUACACACACGCUACAAUGGUCAGCACAAUGGGUCGCUAAGCCGCAAGGUGGAGCCAAUCCUCAAAGUUGGCCUCAGUUCAGAUUGUAGGCUGCAACUCGCCUGCAUGAAGAUGGAGUUGCUAGUAAACGCAGGUCAGCCAUACUGCGUUGAAUACGCUCCCGGGGCUU
rnacentral:rRNA from 1 species